rnacentral:misc_RNA from 1 species
AAGUCGUAACAAGGUUUCCGUAGGUGAACCUGCGGAAGGAUCAUUAAUACGCUUUUGUUUGUAACAAAACAAAACGUUUUAAACUCCAAAAGAAAUAGUGGAAAUAUAACUUCCGGAUGCGAAUUGUUGGGAACUGAGUAAAAUCGGUUCUUUGAAAAAAGGGACUUCAAGCAAUUGACACUUCAGAGUAGAGCAGUGAGGUGAAAUUCUCUUUAAUGAGAGUUUGGUUCUGAAAACAUUUGUAUCCGGUUAUCAUAAUCUGUUCUACAACCCCCAAAAUAUCAAACAAUAAACCCCAUGUACAACAACUUGAACUAAACAUUUUUUUGUCGUCCGCUUACACACUUGUUGUGUGAGAAGAUACUGCAAAGAAAAAACCUGAACUUAAGAACAACUCUUAACAACGGAUAUCUUGGUUCUC